AGAGAGAGACAUGCGCGCAUAUCAAUAAGCGGAGGAAAAGAAACUAACUAGGAUUCCCUCAGUAACGGCGAGUGAAGCGGGAAGAGCUCAAAUUUGAAAUCUUCAAGGUUCUACCUUGACGAAUUGUAGUUUAAAGAAGUGUUUUCUGUUGGAGUUUUGGUAAAAGUUCUUUGGAAUAGGACAUCAUAGAGGGUGAGAAUCCCGUAUUUGACCAUUAUUUCCAGCUUUGUGAUACACUUUCAAAGAGUCGGAUUGUUUGGGAAUGCAGUCCAAAAUGGGUGGUAAAUUUCAUCUAAAGCUAAAUAUUGGCGAGAGACCGAUAGGCGAACAAGUACCGUGAGGGAAAGAUGAAAAGAACUUUGAAAAGAGAGUUAAACAGUACGUGAAAUUGUCAAAAGGGAAGCGUUUGACACCAGUGUUGUUUUCUCGAAAAUCAAUUAAAAAAGGCAGGAUUUUGUGUUGUAUUGACUUUAUCAGCUUUCUGCACUCUUUUCUUGUCUUUUUUAAUGCACUUUUCGUUUAACAAGUCAACAUCAAUUUCUUUUGUUGUAAAAGGGUCAUUGGAAGGUGGCUUUCUUUUCGGAGAAAGUGUUUAUAGCCUUUGGCCUCUGCAAUCGGAGAGAUUGAGGUCUGCAGCGUAGAUCCUUCGGGGUUAGAUACAUUUGUGCUAAGUUAUAGCCUUUCAUAGACAACUUGUUGACUAUGAUCAGUCAUGUAGCUUACUCGCUUAUGCUAUUUUACCUACGCUUAGGAUGUUGAUGUGAUACUGCGAGC
rnacentral:rRNA from 1 species